CUUUGGAUCCAGCUCUUCUCAGCUCUGCAGCAUCAGGUAAGACCUAAAUCUUCACUCUGGCCUCAACCAGGGCUCUUUAAUUCUGGGCCCAAGGCUCAGAGAAGAGCUUGGGGUGCAGGUUCUAAGUGGAGGUUCCGGACAGCAGGAGGGGCUGGGUGCCAGAGCUCCCUAACAAAGUUUUAGGCUUAGGAGCAAUGACUCUUGGAUCCACUAGCCUUCACUGGGGACAGCUUUUACAAUCUUUUAAAUCUUCUUGGGUUUUUUGUUUUUUGUUUGUUUGUUUGUUUUUUGGGGGAAGCUGGGAACCGAACCCAGGGCUUUGCGCUUACCAUUGAGCUAAAUCCCCAACCCCAUCUUUUAAAUCUACAG
rnacentral:lncRNA from 1 species